rnacentral:rRNA from 1 species
AUGGAUGUCGCCGUGGCGAAGCAACUCAGGCGGAUCCGCACGCUGGGCCGCGGCGCGUCUGGCGCCGUCGUGUGGCUCGCGUCCGACGAGGCCUCGGGGAAGCUCCUGGCCGUCAAGUCCGCCGCCGCCGGUGGCGCGGCGCAGCUGGAGCGCGAGGGCAGCGUGCUCACCGGGCUCUGCUCGCCGCACAUCAUCCCCUGCCUCGGCUCCCGCGCCGCGGAGUGCGGCGAGUACCAGCUCUUCCUCGAGUUCGCGCCCGGCGGCUCGCUCGCGGAUGAGGCCGCCAGGAGCGGGGGCUGCCUCCCGGAGCCCGCCAUCCGGGCGUACGCCGGGGACGUGGCCAGGGGGCUGGAGUACCUCCAUGCGAGGUCGCUGGUCCACGGGGACGUGAAGGCACGGAACGUGGUGAUCGGCGGCGACGGCCGCGCCAGGCUCACCGACUUCGGCUGCGCGAGGGCCGUGGACUCCCUGCUCCCGAUGGGCGGCACGCCGGCGUUCAUGGCGCCGGAGGUCGCGCGCGGCGAGGAGCAGGGGCCGGCGUCCGACGUGUGGGCGCUCGGCUGCACCGUCGUCGAGAUGGCCACUGGCCGCGCGCCAUGGAGCGACAUGAACGAUCUGCUCGCGGCCGUGCACCGGAUCGGGUACACCGCCGCCGUGCCGGAGGUGCCGGGGUGGCUCUCCGCGGAGGCCAAGGACUUCUUGGACGGAUGCUUCAGGAGGCAGCCCAGCGACAGGUCCACCGGAGCGCAGCUCUUGGAUCACCCGUUCGUUGCUUCCGCCGCUGCCGCCUGCGACUACAAGGCCGCGCCGGCGAAGCAACAAUACACGUCUCCCAAGAGCACGCUGCAGGACGCACUCUGGGACUCGGACACCGACGACGAGGAGGCGGACGAAACGCCGGCCGAGAGGAUCGGGGCAUUGGCCUGCGGCAACUCGGCCUUGCCGGACUGGGACUCGGAAGAUGGCUGGAUCGAUGUGUGCCACCAGGUCCACAGAGGCGCUGACUCGCCGCCGGCCGAUGUGGGUUACGACCUCGUUUGGCCCGAAGAAUCAGACGCGGAGCGCGAGCCGUCUGCGGUUGCUGCUGACGACAGCAACGGCAUACCGCGCAAUGCAGUGGUGACCGACUCUUCCAUUUGGCAGUACAGUUACGUGCGCCCUGUGCAUUUAGGCAGCUGUAGAAAAAAAUCUCACCCGUUUCAAUCCGACGGGGAUGAAAAAUUGAGUUUUGACCGUCAUUGUAACAAAGACAGAGUAAUGGAAUUCAUUUUUUUGCUCAAAAUCUCAAAGUCUGCGACCAACCAUCUCUCUGGUACUACAUUCCUCGUGUGCGUAUGCUUUUCGUUACAGAUCCGAGCAUGUAACGUGACGGUUCGAGAUUCAGUUACUUGA